AAUACCUUCUGGACAGACCUUUUAUACUAAAAUGGGAAUGAUACAGAGAAGAUUAGGAUGGCCCCUGCACAAGGAUGACACACACAUUCAUGAAGUGUUCCAUUGUUUU